AGCAUUCUGUAGCCGUGCUGAGAUUUUGUCACACACCAGAUGAAACUCCCAAGAUAAGUGAAGCA
rnacentral:pre_miRNA from 1 species